ensembl:lncRNA
CUGAAGCCUAGGGGAGCCAGUAAAGAUUAAAUGUGCUUUCUCAAAGGCAGCCACUUCAUGCUGCUAUGUCGAAAAGGCCAUUAUUAUUAUUAUUAUUUUAAUAGUAAAAGAAGAAGGGAGAGAGGUUGAAAGAGAGAGAGAGAAGCUAGGUAGGAUGAUGACGGACUAGCUUUUCCGAGAGGAAAAGGGAAGGGAGAGAAAAAGCAGAGACCCUGAACGGAGGAUUGUGCCUGAGGAGAACCUACGGAGUCGUCUCCGUGUUCCUUUCAGCUGGUCCUAUAGUCCCCCUUCCUCAGGAAUGUCUUCCCAGUGAAACAACACAGACUGCAGAAACCUGUCCCGAUGGAUGCUAAAGCCAACUGCGAAGUGGAAACAAAGAACAGCAUCACCUGAAGACGUCUCUCCUGCCAGUCAGCACACCCAGAUGCUGCAGUUUUCACCCAGUAGCAUCUCAGAACAAGAGGCAAGCUUUUCAAGAAACAGAAACCCUUAAGAAAGCUAUCUAGAUCUCGAAUGAGCAAGGACUUUCCCUUCCUCAUGUGUAUUCCUCUGUUUGUAUUUAAAUUCUGUGUGACCUUCAUUUUUUUAAAAACUUUUUUUUCUAGUAUGACUAUGCUUAUUAAUACGCUAAUUUUUAAAAUAGAAAAUUGUUCGUGCCAGAGGUCGGUUGCAUGUUAGCCACACACAGAGUUUGACCUUAAAAGAAUGACUUAAAGAAUAUUGAGUUCUUUUGCAAUCACAGAAUAGUAGGAGGCAAUACAAAGGAUAAAAUGAUGAUGGGAACUCAGAAUGUGUCAUCGAAAUACAGUACCCACUGACACCAAACAACCAGCCUUCUUAUCAGGCAAGCUAGGUUCUGUGAGACAUAGUCACUGCCUCUAAGGAGUUUAAACCUAGUUAAACAGAAGCACAUAAACUUUUGAAAAGAGAAGUAACAGAUCAAGUCAAUUCAUAAGAGCAAAAUGAAAGAUAUAAGCAAGGAGCUCGGAGGAAGUCCACUUAGGCGGGGCAAACUGGUUUGUCUAGGGAAGAAAGUUCCUAAAGGAAGGAAAUACAAGGUGAAUUUUAAAGGAUGUUAAAGAUUUAUAUAAAUGGGAAGGAAGAACAUAGAAUCCUUUCUAUAGAUGCACUAUUGCGAGCAAAGUCAGAGAGGAAGGCAUCUACCUGGUGAUUUCAGGAAAUUAUGAAUGCACAGGUCCAGUUGACCAAAUCCCAGACUUCCAUUGCCAAUCUAUAUGUACAUACAUGGUGAAGACUUUACACACAUACUUCCCCUUGCCCACCUCAGGUGUAGACCGGAAUUACAAUCAUAUUUCUUCCAUUAAAAUAAGUGAGCGUGAUUGAUGAUAGUAUGAGGAUUUGUGAUUUUUCUGUUAGCCUAAUAACAGUGGAUAUUUAUUGAGUUCUCCCUACAUGUUAAGCAUUUUAUAUAGUAAUUCUCUUAAGCUUCACAACAACCCUGCAAAAUAGAUAUUAUUUUGUAUUUCCAUUUUACAUAAAGAAACCUGAGGUUUAAGUAACUUGCCAAACUGCUACAUACAGGGUUCACAAUCAGGACUGUGAUUUCAAAGCUCAUGAUCUAAGGCACUAAGCCACAGUGUUCCAAGUUUGUAAUUUUGCCACUUCUGUAUUCCUUGAUAUUUUUCUCUGGUAGACACAUAGCUAUUUUCUUUAAUUAUCUUCUCAAAAUUUUCAGUUUUCUGGUUGAACUAGCAUGGUGGAAUGUAUUUUCAUGACAGAAAUGGAAGCUACUGGGGAACAGAGUUUAUCAGCAUUUUAAGCUUUUUUUGGACCAGACUCUGAGGAGACUGUUAGCUUUGGUCAGCAUGAAAUCUUAACUUCUUGAGAACAAAAACAGGGGGUGGGGAGAGCUUAAAGGUCAUCUAUUGCAAUGUUCUUUCCUACAGAUGUGAUAAACCUGUAAAGAUAGAGCAACUUACAAAAGAUCGCUCAUUGGAAUAUAACAACUAGAUCCAGAAACCAUGCCCUCAGAGGCUCUUGAACUACACCACCCUGCCUAAAUGAAGCAUGAGCUUGAAUUUCACCAAUGGAAACAUUCUGUCUGGGUGAUCAAGGAGCACCAUACCAAGUACAUUGCUUCACUUUUGGCUACCUCUUUGGCUUUUCACUUCAAUGUGAAAAAUAGAUAGUUGUGAACUCACAUCUUUAGUUUCAAAAACUGUCAAUGGUCUAGCCGCAAAGAACACACAGCAGCCCAAGUUAUGUGUACAAUGUCUUCACUGAUAUUCUCAAGUUACUUGGCAUUCUUCCUUCACCUAAACCAGUCAGAUCUUCUAAUGAGCAUUUUCUUAACCAAAUUUAUACACAGUAUAUAGUCAUAAGAGUUUCUGCAUGAAUGUUUAAACAUGUCUGUUUUGAUAGUGUUUAUGGUUUUUGAAAAUAUCAAUGGUUAUUUGCUAUUUUAAUUGUCAGUUAUCCAUAUAACUAACCCAAGAAUACUUCAGCCAUAAAAAAAUAGAAUUAAGGAAAUCUUAGUCUUCUAUACUAGCCCCUUUGCCUUUAGUUGGCACUUAGUAAUAAUUAAUAAAGUGGUCUACUGGAGAAUACAGAGGUUCAAAACGCAAUUUUGUCUUGAAGGAGUCAGUUGAACUGUGUCUACUUGAGAGCAAGCAUCUAGACAUUUGGAAGGACCUGAAUAUUUGACUGUUGUCAAUUUCCACUUAGCUAUCCGGCUUUGGCGCACUUAGACCUCCUGGUGGCUCAGGUCGUCCUAUUUUCAAAAUGAUGAUCAUUGGCCAUCUCUCACACAGUGCUCAUUAAGGGAGUUCAUAAAUAAACAGGUGGUUUUCUUUUUUAAGCAUAGCCAAGCACAAAAUGUGACUCUGUUGACAUUUUAUGAGACUUUGUCAUAUGUCCCCUGAACCCCCAAUAAAAGCAAUGUUGCAUCAACUGUGAA